UAGGGAAUCUUCGGCAAUGGGGGGAACCCUGACCGAGCAACGCCGCGUGAGUGAAGAAGGUUUUCGGAUCGUAAAGCUCUGUUGUUAAGGAAGAACGAGUGUGAGAAUGGAAAGUUCAUGCUGUGACGGUACUUAACCAGAAAGGGACGGCUAACUACGUGCCAGCAGCCGCGGUAAUACGUAGGUCCCGAGCGUUGUCCGGAUUUAUUGGGCGUAAAGCGAGCGCAGGCGGUUAGAAAAGUCUGAAGUGAAAGGCAGUGGCUCAACCAUUGUAGGCUUUGGAAACUGUUUAACUUGAGUGCAGAAGGGGAGAGUGGAAUUCCAUGUGUAACGGUGAAAUGCGUAGAUAUAUGGAGGAACACCGGUGGCGAAAGCGGCUCUCUGGUCUGUAACUGACGCUGAGGCUAGAAAGCGUGGGGAGCGAACAGG
rnacentral:rRNA from 1 species